GAAGAAAAUUUCUAGAUGGUCAUGGUUGUCCAUAAUCCUAUGAUCGAAAAACAAAGUAAAGAUGGAAAACCGAUUGUUGACUACCAAGAGGAGGAGUUGUUGGACAAGGUUUAUAGUUCAUUACUGCAGCAAUGCUACAGCAUGUACAAGCUUUUUAAUGGUACAUUUCUGAAAGCCAUGGAAGAUGGAGGUGUCAAGCUCUUAAAAGAAAGAUUAGAGAAAUUCUUCCAUCGGUAUUUGCAAACGUUGCAUUUGCCGUCAUGUUACCUGCUUGACAUUUUCGGUGGAACCAGCUUCUUCCCAUUGGAUAAAAUGACUUAUCUCAAAAUCCAGGCCUUUAUUAAUAGAAUGGAGGAAAGCCUGAAUGGUCAAAUAUACUGCAUUUCUCUAUAAUGAUCAACUCAUCUGGAGUGGAUUAGAACAAGAUGACAUGAGAAUUUUAGACAAAUACCUCACCACCUCUCUUUUUCCAAGACACAUUGAACCUGAGUUGGCAGGAAGAGAUUCUCCAAUAAGGGCAGAAAUGCCAGGAAAUCUUCAACAUUAUAGAAGAUUUCUUUUUUGAUUUCGUACUGGACCUUUGAACCUUAAUGAUCCAGAAGCAAAAUGCAGAUUCUCCUAAAUUUUUGUAAAUACAGAUGACACUUAUGAAGAGCUCCAUUUAAUUGUUUAUAAGGCCCUGAGCGCAGCUGUGUGCUUUAUGAUUGACGCCUCUAUCCAGCUGACAUUGGCUUUUUGCCGGACACUGGACAGCAUUGUUGGGCCUCAGCUCCUGGUACUGGCAUCCGACAUUUGUGAGCAAUUCAACAUCAACAAAAGAAUGUCUGGGUCUGAAAAGGAACCCCACUUUAAAUUUAUCUACUUCAACCAUAUGAAUUUAGCAGAGAAAAGUACAAUUCACAUGAGGAAAACACCCAGUGUAUCACUUACGUCUGUUCAUCCAGAUUUAGUGAAGAUUCUAGGUGAUAUCAACACUGAUCUUACUAGAGUGGGUGAAGAUGAAGAAAUCAUCGUGAAAGCAAUGAGUGAUUAUUGGGUUGCUGGGGAAAAGUCUGAUCAGUGGGAGCUAUAUGUUAUUUUGAAUCAAAAAAAUGCAAACCUGAUUGAAGUAAAUGAAGAAGUAAAGAAACUUUGUGCAACGCAGUUCAAUAACAUGUUUUGGGUUGCCGAAAACAUCUUUGAAAAAAAUUCAGCAAACAUUUUGUUUACCAUUGCAAGUUAUUGGUCAUAUUAUUGACUGGAUUAAUGACAAUAGUAAAGCAAUACUUGCUUUGAAGAAUCACAUUUCUGCUCAGUCUGAUGAUCCCCUGAGGUUUUUAGAUUUUAAAUAUUUAUGUGGAAUUAAUUAAAGGAAGUUGGCUAUAUCGCUAUCAUUCCAUUCUUUUGACAUUAUAUGAAUAUUUUAGUGGAAAGUAAGACUAAUAAAUUGUUAAAGUUUUUAAAA